AGCGAAGCAGAGGCCUGCAGAAAGUGCAACAAUGGCCAAUCGUGCUUGACAAGGGCGGGGCUGCUGCUCCGAGCGCCUAUUAUCCUCACAGGUCACAGGCCAUGUGCUCAGCCCGUCAGCCGUACCUUCUUCGCCAGGUUUCUCAAGGAGGCGGCAACAAGCUUUGAAACCAUGACUGCACGGAUUUGCAGAGGGUUCUGUUGUCCUCAGAAUUUGACAGAAUGUAUUACAAGGUUCGUUGUGACAAAAAAAUGAAAUAAAAUCAACAGUCUUAUGCAGACUGUAUUGCUACUUGUCCACCUAUGCGAAAUUACAAUAAUUGGUCUGAAAGAUAAAUCUUUGGACGCGUCUGGCCAACUUCUGUCCCUUGUUGCCAUUGCUGAAAGCUUCACAAGGCAUAUGAAUUUUGGCGCGACGACGCUCUGGUGCAGUGGUGUAGCAGAAAAAUGCAAGGAUGUAAGCCUUUUGCAUAGAGCCAAAUAUUGCCGGCGGGCUGGAUAUGCUUCCUCUCUAGCCUAUAUCAAGUACAGUAUUUUUCAGAGAUGGAACGAACGGUUCGUCCUUUUCUCCCGUUGUUUCAA